UAAUAAAAUAAUUAUGUUUUUAUUAAUUUAUUAUAAAUUUAUUUUACAUAUAAAUUUUAGUAUAUAAUUUUAAUUAUUUUAAAAAUAAUUAAUUAUAGUAGUAGUAAUUAAUAUUAAAAAUUUAAGAAAUUAAGAUUUAGUAAUAUAAAAAUUAAUAACUAAUUUUGUGCCAGCAGUUGCGGUUAAACAAAAAUUAAAUUAAAUUAUUUCAGUUUAUAAUUAAUAAUUAAUAAAUUAAAAUAAAUAUUAAAUUAUUAAGUGAAAUUUUAAUUUAAUUAAAUUUUAUUUAAUUUUUAUGAAUUAAUAAAUUUUAUUAUAAACUAGGAUUAGAUACCCUAUUAUUAAAAAUUUAAUUUAUAAUACUAAAAUAGUAAAUAAUAAUUUAUUGAAACUUAAAUAAUAUGGCGGUAUUUUAGUUCAUUUAGAGGAAUCUGUCUAAUAAUUGAUAAUCCACGAAUAAAUUUACUUAAUUUAUAAUUUUGUAUAUCAUUGUUAAAAAAAUAUUUUUUAGUAAAAAUAAUAUUUAAAAAUUUAAAUAUGGAAAUUAAUUCAGAUCAAGAUGCAGAGUAUAAUUAAGAAUAUGAUGGAUUACAAUAAAUAUAUUUAAAUGAAUAAUUUUAUUGUAAAUAAAUUUGAAGGUGGAUUUAAAUGUAAUUUUAAUUAGUUUAUUAAAAUGAUUGAAAAUUAAAGUAUGUACAUAUUGCCCGUCACUUUCAUUUAAAAGUUGAAAUAAGUCGUAACAAAGUAGAGGUACUGGAAAGUGUUUCUAGAAAGAA
rnacentral:ncRNA from 1 species